rnacentral:lncRNA from 1 species
GCUAAACGGAGUUUACUCCAAAAUGGUAUUUCAGUGUCCAAAAGUACAGUUUCAAGUUCAUUACUUGAUUCAAAAUUGUGGGUUUCAGAUAAUUGGGGUGACAAAUUAGAUGUUCCAUUGUUUUCUAAAAAUGGCUGGUAAAUGUUGUUUUUAGAAGAAUCCAUAGAUUCCAGUGAGUGGAAAGUGGAAAGAGAAAGUUGAAAAGAAUGUAAAGAGAAUUGAAAUGCAGUGUUCUAUUGAUGUGUAUUUAUAUAGAGAUAAAAAAUAAAAAUAAAAAACAAACGUCAGUGCUUAUGUGGAUGAGAAAUUGAGAUUGAGAGUAGUACAAGCGGCCACCACUAGAAGUUUUCAAUUUGGCUACAUAAAGUCAUAAAAUAAUUGAAGAUUAGCGUUCUAAUUCUGCUAGUCAAUUUUUUAUGAUUAUCGAUGUGAAGUUUUUGGAUUUUAUAAUCUACUUUUUCAGUUUAUAUAAUAGUAUUCUUUAUUAAUCCGUCCUAAAAGAUAAUAAUUUAUUAAAUUUGUAAAUAAUUUAAUUUUAAAAAGGAACCUAUCGAUUCGGUUAUAGUGCCGGUUACUUUUCAUUUUAUUAUUAACGAUAAACUUUUAUAGUUACACAAAUAUUAUUACAUGUUUAAAAUUAUAAGUUUUAAAAAUUUUAUAGUCAUACAAAUGUUAUGAUAUAUUUAAAAUAAUAAUUUCGAAAAAAAUUUCUUUCUGAAACUAUGUGCUCAAUCAAACUAGUCACAUAAAUUAAAAUGAAUGAGUAAAAUCAAUUUAUCGAAGUGAAAUAAUUUUGUGAAGUUCACAAAAUAAAUGUUAUCUACCAGAAGUGGUCUUACCUACUAAUUGAAUAUAUGCAGUUUAAGUGUGUUUUAAUACUAGGUAAAUUCGAAAUCUGCUUAGGUCUAAGUUCAAGUGUGUCUUUUUCAUAUUUUACAUCUUGGGUUAUCCGUCAUGUAUGUCACAUAAUAUUAUCUUCUUGGUUUUUGUUUUAGAUGUUUAUGCUAAGUUACAUAGUACAUUUUUUAAUAAUUUAGAAUAUACUGAUUUAAUAUUUUAUUAUGUAAAUUGGUUAUUUAAUUUACUUAGAUAUUUUAAUUAAUUGUUAUUAAAAUCUUUUAUUUUGAAUGUUAUUCCUACCUAGCGUUUGGAGCUAACCAUCUGACCUACUAUAGGUAAAAUAUUCCACCUCACCCUCUCCACAACCACACACCAAAAAGAAAACAGAGAGACAUUGGAAUCUCAAAAUUUGGUGGUUAUUGCCUUAAUUGGACGGUUCGGAUUCUUUAAUUUGAUGCUACACUUUUUAAAGCAAGAGCGGGGAUAUAUUACUUAAAAUUUGUGAUUGAACUUUUUGUAGAAAUAACGAAGGUUACAUUAUUAGUUAAUUUCAUAGUAUUGAUUUUGACCUAAUAGAAUAAGGUCUACAGUGUAUAAUUCAAACUUUGAAGUACAAAUCAAAAUCCUAAGUUGAAGGUGUCAUUAGAAAUUAAAGAUGGUUAACAACUCUCCUCACAAGGACGAGAACAGUUUCUUUCUUUCUUCUUCUACUUAUGAAUUAUUGGGUGGUUUCGUUACCAAGUGGAAUAGACAAGGUUAUGUGAUAGGCUGAGAUAUCUCAGGUGAAUAGCUAUUCGAGCUUUUAUUUGGGAUAGUUAAUCUAACCAUUUUGAUUUAAAAUUUAUCUUAACAUUAGCUAACUAAUGUCAUAAUUAAAUAUGGAAUAAAUAUAAUUUCGUAUUCUAUUUUGAGAUUAUUAUUCUUAUUCCGGUAAUAACGACCCCCGAAAGUUAUAUCAUGAUCAUUUUUAUCAUUCAUGGGACAGUUCAGCGGUUAAGAGCCAAAAUCAGUGUCACGAAUUUGAAAACUAAUCGAAAAAAUUACUUAAGUAGUAAUUUUUUUGGGGGUUCCAUUCGGUGUUUGAUAUUUUUAUAAAAUUUCAUUAAAUAGGAUUCGUGUCGAAAAGUUUCACACCGUGAGCAAGACGCUCCAUAACAAAGGUAAUUCUAUGCCCGAGACUCGACCGAAACCUCCAAUUAAAAAUGAAGCGCAAACCUUGGUUGUUCUCGAAAAGAUAGUUGAUGUGAACGUUUGCCAAUCUUAUAAGAACAAUAAAUGAAGAUAGUACUUAUCUCCCUUUCGCAUGACAACACCAAAUUUAUUAUCUCACACUAAAUUUAGUGAAGGAAAGAUGUUUUUUUACUUUUGAAUUUUUAAAUCAAGAUUAUUUGUUUUAAGGGGAUUUGAGUAGUUCCUAAAGAAAAAAAAAUUGUCAUUAGGGGUUGGUUGGGUUGGUUCGGAUUUUUCAAUUACCAAACCAAAAUAAUAGUGUCGGGUUUUUAAAUUUAUAAACCAAACCAAACCAAUAAAGUCGGGGUUUUCAGGUUUUUUCCGGUUAAAGUNNNNNNNNNNNNNNNNNNNNNNNNNUGUCUUAGUUCUGCAGCACAAUAAUAUAAUUACUGAUUAGUACUCCAUAUUAAUCAUUACGAUCGUGCAUUUUUAAGUACAUUUUCCAUAAGAUUUUAGUCAGUUUUAAUCAUUUUAAAAGACCACCAAUUAUUUUCGUAGAAAUGAUAUUAGGUAGCCAUUUUAAAGGACUGCUAUUUAAUAAUUAGUCAGUGCGUUCUGAAUUUUAAUUUUUCAAUUUAAAUAUUCGGGACAAAAAAUAUCCUGAAUUAUCCUAAAGUUAAGAUCUUUAGUUUAAAAUUUCAGGACAAAGUAAGUACUGACUAAUCUCUAAUUAGCAUCCACGAGAAUAAUUAUAAGUGCACUUGUCCCACUAUUUUCCCAUAGCAGCCAAUGAGACCACCACUAUUACAGCUAGAUUAUUUAUUAAAAAGACAGUACACCUGUAUAUACUUUGUGAUUUAAAUUAUAACAUAUUGAUAUAUAAUAGUACAAAAAAAUUCUACUAUCACGAAACUUUAAAUUGUUAUAAUAAAUUAAUACAUUGUGUAGAUUAAUAAGUUACUGUAUACACUUACAUAUAGCUAGCUUUAUGUGAUCUAAUCGUGUAAUUAUUUUCUAUACAGCGUGCUUAAAAUCUAAACUUGUUUCUUGUUAGUAUGUACAUUAAUAUUUUUUCGUUAGGAGAACUACUGUAGUGUUUGAACAUAUCAAUAACUUAAACUUAGGAGUGUGAUUGGCACCCCCUUAACAAAAAUUUCACUAUAUCACCCCUAAUUAUUAUUAUAAAAACUAACUUUGGCUAUUAUCAAUUCAAAUUGUUGGAAAAUGAUAAGGGUAGAACAGGUUUAAAAUAGUAAAUUAUCCAUUCAUUUUCCAAACUAGACAAGUAAAAGGAGACAUUUAUUUUUAGUACAGUGAUCAAGUAAAUUUGGACGCAUGAGUAGGAAAAAACUAUAGCCUUCGUGCCUAUUCUUAUGCCUACACUAAGAUAAUAUUUAGGACAUUGCUAUUUAUUUUUGCGCCGAAGGAAUUUGUACUUACUAUAAAACAACAACAACAACAACAACAACAACCCAGUAUAAUUUUACUAGUGGGGUUUGGGGAGGGUAGUGUGUAUGCAAACUUUACCCCUACUCUUGGGCAACAACAACAAUAACGACAACAACAACCCAGCAUAAUCCCACUAGUGGGGUUUGGAGAGGGUAAUGUGUACGCAAACUUUACCCCUACCUUAGGGUAGAGAUGUUGUUUCCGAUAGACCCUCGGCUCCCUCCCUCCAAGAACUCCCCACCUUGCUCUUGGGAUGACUCGAACCCACAACCUCUUGAUUGAAAAUGGAGAAUUUUCACCACUAGAACAACUUACUCUUGUCAAAUCUUACUAUAAAACCUGUAGAGUAUUCUGAUUAAUUACAUUUUCGGUGGAAGUAGGUAAAGUAAAUGUCAAUAGUUGUUGCAUUUAUACUAGAGGGCGCAAUAUAGUAUUCACUACAUUCACUUUUACUUGACAUGUAUACUAAAAAUAGACUAUUAUUUUUACUUGUCACUUUACGUAUAUCAAGAGAAUGACAAAAAAAAAUCUUGUUAUACCCACAGUAUUUAUUACUCAUUUUAAAUCAUUUUCUCAAAUCCAACAAAAUAUGCAUCAAUUAAUAUAGGUAUCAUGGUAAAUUAUGCAUUUCAUUUAUUAUUUUUUAAGGGACGUGAAAGGUCAAAACGUGUAAAAGUGAACGGAGGAGUAAUAAAUUGUCUUUAUAAAAUCAGAUUACGAUAAAAUUAAAUGUUUGUGACAUCAAUUUCCGGACCUUCUGCUAUAUAACGCCAUUAUGGAAUGGCAAGAAGAUUGAUAACAAACAUUUGUUAAUGAGUUAAAAAAAAGGGCCUGAUUUUUGUGCAUAUUUAAUUCAUAAUCAAUUUUGUCAUAAUUAACCAAAGUAAAGCUAAAAAAGUUUUGUAUCAGAUAUUUAUAUUAAACCAUAUCAAUUUUUUCAUAAUUAAGCAAUAAUUAAAGUAAAAAUAUGUAUACCAUUUAUUAAUUAUGGUCUAGUGAUCAUAGACGGAUCUAAGAUUUUAAUUUAGGUUUAAGAUUUCGACUUCAAUCAUUACACCCAUCACCUUGAAUACGUAACUAAUAAGUGGAUUCACCCUUGCUAGUGAUAACUAUAUCCGUAAAAAUAUGUGUUGUGAACAGGAAUAAUUUAGAUAAUACUUGUGGGCCAGUUGUUUGGAAGGUUGGCCAAGCUGUUUGGCCAAGGGCUAGACCACAAAGAAGUCCAAGGACAAGACAACCCAACAAGAGAUCCGUUUGUGAUCCAGGUGGAGUAGGGAAAGACGCGGCAAAGGUUUAAAAGGAGAGUGGCCUACGGCUUCAGGAAUUAUGCGUAUUGUUGAGUAAAAUAUCUACUUCUCCUCAUCUUCCUUCUCGAGUGUUUGUAUCCUCUCAUCCCCAUUCUUAGUAUGAGCUUCUCAUCCCUUAUUCUCUAUCAUUUGUAUUUAUGUUUAGCAUCUCUAUUUCCUAUAAUAGUUUUGAGUUGAGUUGUAAUUUCUUUCGAGGUUGAAGCAAUAGAAGUAUUGAAUAACUGGUUUGUUACAUUGGUGCUUUCAUCGUUCGUACUCCAACAAUAGUGGUGUUAGAUCGAUUCAGCGGUGGAAACCCAGAGGGUAGGAUUUUUCGGGUUGAGUUGUACUUCACCUACCUUGGCUUCUCCGAGAAAGACUUGUUACCUCUUCCUUGCCACUACCUUGACGACGAAGCACUUGCUUGGUUUGAUUGGCUAUUUCGAAAUAAGCAACUUUUUGAUUGUUUCCAUUUUAAGGAGAAACUGAAGCUGUGUUUUCGCACUCGGACUAGAGAAGCAUUUGGUGGGUGAUUAGCCGUUCACCAGCAGCGAUAGCUAGAGGAAAAUUUUGUAGCACGAGCUGCGGCUAUUCCAUCACGGUGCAACAUUAGCACCUCACUCUCGCCUCAGUAUUGGAAUAAACACUUAGACAUCAACAACCUUAACUUAACAUACGAGGUGCUCGAGAAAAUGGCGGAUAAGGCAACUAGCACCUUACAAGAUGAUGAAGUGGAUGUUGAACCUAGUGCGUUACCAGAAAAGCAUAUUGAUGUCGAUUCCAUGUACGGUAUCGCUGAUGGAAGUCAUAUUGAAGUUGAAUUCUUACAGAGCUAUAAGUUGGUAAUGAAUUGAUGACUAAGAAGGUGGAAUUAUCAGAAGAAGGCCAUGUGUUCGACAAAAUGUCUAAUAAUUGCUGCUCCACGGUACUCGCUGAUGAAUCUGAUUUAGAAGAUGGCGAUUCUGAGGAAGACAAGGUGCCUGAUAGACAUCCCAGACGAACCAUUGACAAGAACUAAGUCUCUCCAACUGAUGUGGCAAUUGCUUGCAAUAAUGAAGCUGAAACGAACACAACUAAUUUCUGGUACCUUUGAUUAGUAGAGAGGAUGUAGUGCCGAAAGAGAUUGCGAGCACUAGUGAAGUCACACAUCCAUUUAAAAAUAUCUUACCGCUUCACAUUCACAAGAGUCUAUGUCUGUAAAAACAAUUAUAAGAAUUUUAUGAUGGCAAAUGAAGUUUCAGAUAUUGAGAGGUAUGUUUCUGAUGAAAUUUUAUUUGUUGGAUAUGAAGAACUAGCGUGGGAUGAAGAGUUUGCGUUAAUAAUUAAGCAUCCAUCACUAUGUCAUUUUCGGCUUGUAGUUUUUGGUUGCAUAAUACUGUAUCGCCAUACUACUUUACCCUAUAAAAUGUUGGCUAUAGAUUUGAAUUUGGUACACUCAUUAUCUGUUCAUGUUGGACUCUUCAUAUCGACUUCAUCUACCAUGGUUCACUUAUCUCAAGCUCCAAUGGUACAGGGUCAUCACGUGGUACUGAGUUGUCUCAACGACGAGAAAUCUUUGAAUUGGGUUUUACAAGUAAAGAGAUAUUCUUAUUCCUACUCCAUAUCUAAUGAUUUUAAACUUCCUCUCACGUCCGUUUAUCUAGAUGGCAAUGUGCAAGUUAAAGGCUCAAAGAAUGCGGUUCAACUGAAGCUAUUUGCUACUAGCCUAUUCAAGGGAGCUACAAAUAUCAAAGAGGAAAUGGCUCCAGCAGAUUUUUGCCCAAUCUUACAGAAUCUUACUCAUAGGAUGGAUUCGGAACAUCUAGGGAAAGUUCUAUUGAAUAAUUUGGAGUUUAUUAUUAGGUCUCGAGUUCUAAGUCUUCGGACUCUUAUCAACCAACCUAUAACUGAGCUUGAAAUUGAGUUGAGCUUUCUUGGGAAACACAUUAUCAUGGCACCAAGGAUAAACUCCGUGAUCUUAACUCAAAAAAAUUAUCUAGAGUAUGUGGCUUCUAGCUUUAUGACUCAAGUGUGGGAUACUGGACGGCAAUGGUGUAUGCAUUCUUCCAUUUUGCUAUCUGAUUUUGUAUUGGAAAAAGAUGUUUCAGAUACAUUGCAACUGAAGCUUCUUACAUCACUCUUGUUUGGCCCAAUGAGUGAGGAAUAUGCAUUUUCUUCCUGUUCUUCACUCUCUAGCAACCAAGUCGUGUUAAUGAAUUUCUCUCGUACUAGAACGAGAGUGUUUUAUCCACAAACCUGUCCAUAUUACAAAUAUUCCUUGUACUAUUUUAUAGAUAAUUUUAAUCUUUGCAAUGCCUUUUCGAAUGUUUUCGAUGAGGCAGGACCUCCACGAGUGCUACCAGUUCAAUCCUUACAGACGAAGAUCGCAAAAUAUUUGUGUAGUUUGUGGAUGCGGUCAAGGAAAUCCAAUAGGAUGACAAUAUUGCAACAUGAGAGAAAGCCACAUCUUACCAUAAGUCUUGCUGUAAUUGUACAAUCACUAUGGUCAUUGUUGUAAUUAAUUUUCAACUAUGUGGACCUAAUUGGUUAUCACGAGCCUGUAGUUUGUCAAGUGGCAGAAGAAGAGCUUUAUAAUUGUGGAGUGAUAUUCUUUAGUUUACUGAUCUUAACUGUAGUAAUCAAAGCAUUUCAACAGAAACACAAAUUAACGGUACUCACAGACUGUUCGAUGGAGAUGGUUGAAUUUAUUAAACGCGAAGGUAAUCCACUUGUCUCUUAUUAUGCUGGCAUUCUAGGAGUAAUAUUGCCUUGUCUAUCCGCUAAGCUAGCACAUCUGGUGCUUGACGUGCAUGCGAGUAUAGUUGAAGAUCACUUUGUAGUUGGUGAUUGUAUUUUUGUCAAACUUCCUACUUAUUGACAACACUCUGUGAGAUUAUAACAAUAUCAUCAAUUGGGAAGGCAAUACUUUGAUCCUUUUAAAGUGCUUCAGCAUAUUUGGGUUGUUGCCUUUAAAUUUGAACUUUUCAAAGCUGAACGAAUAUAUCCUAUUUCUCGCAUAUCUACGCUCAAAUGUUACAAUAACUAGCCUAACUAACAGAACGUGCUACUGUAGAACCUUGAGGGCAAGGUUCUCAAUUCAGGGGGGAGUAUUGUUGUGAACAAGAAUAAUUUAGAUAAUACUUGUGGGCAAGUUGUUUGGAAGGUUGGCCAAGCUGUUGGGCCAAGGGCUAGACCACAAAGAAGCCCAAGGACAAGACAACCCAACAAGAGAUCCGUUUGGGAUCCAGGUGGAGUAGGAAAGAUGUAACAAAGGUUUAAAAGGAGAGUGGCCUACGGCUUCAGGAAUUAUGCGUAUUGUUGAGUAAAAUGUCUGCUUCUCCUCAUCUUCCUUCUCGGGUGUCUGUAUCCUCUCAUCCUCAUUCUUAGUCUGAGCUUCUCGUCCCUUCUUCUCUAUCAUUUGUAUUUAUGUUUAGCAUCUCUAAUUCUUGUAAUAAUUUUGAGUUGAGUUGUAAUUUUCUUUCGAGGUUGAAGCAAUAGAAGUAUCGAAUAACUGGUUUGUUACAAUAUGUGUUAUUUAUUUAUUGAAUUAAUAUAAAUAUCCAAGAUAAUUAAUGAGUAUUGCUCCUUGAUAUUUUUGGGGAUGCAUUUAAAAGCGUCCAGUUUGAAAUGAAUGCUUGGUAUGGCCAAGAUUUGAUUCGAUUCGAUUCAUAUCUUGACCAAAAAUCUAACAUCGACCUCAUAAUUUCUUAUCCAAUAAUAAAUUGGUCAAGUUGUUGCAAAUUGUAAUGAUAGCUCUUUGCCUCUUUGUUCAACCCUUUUUGCCUGUUUUUCCUCUUACCCUUUUUUCAAAAGUUUAAGGGAGAAAUAGUGUAUUCAUUUAUUUUUAUUCUUUUUGGAAGUUUUUAGGAUUGGGACCGAGUCAUGAAUAGUAUGGUUGAGAAGAAUAAAAAUGGUUUUAAGUGAAAUUAGAUUGAUGCACUUAGGUGACAUAAAGUGAAGUUCUCACCAAUAGACUGAAACUCUUAAUUCGUAAGAACCAUCUGCUAUGAGUUCAGGGUCGGUCGAUUGAUGGUAUUUGAAUAAUUAAUAUCAACAUAAAAUUCUACAUAAUAUAAUAAAGUGUUUAGCUGGUUGUUUAAGAAAAAUUAAUUGACGCUUAACUAGUGUUGCAUUUGGUUGGCAGUAUAAAAAUAAUAUCCACCUUAAAUUAUGUGAAAAUUGAUAUAUUAUUUUAUGGGAAUAGAACGUAAAAUAAAAAUACAUAUAUUAGCAAUGUAGGAAUUAAAUUAUUUAAAAAUAAAUAGUAUGUACUUUUAAAGUAAGUAACUCAUAUGUAAACAAUCAUGAAACUUAUAUGUAGUAAUCUACUCAUGAUUAUUCAUUGCAUAACAAUAGUUCCUUUAGUAAUAAUUAUCCGAUAAAUAAUCUUUGCAUUAUAAUUCCCGCAUAACUAUUAUAGGUGGCGAGAAAUUUCUAAGAAUAAAAAAAGCUUCCAAUUCCUAAGAGAGAAAAAGCAUUCAGUUUCUUUUUAAAAAAUGGGACCAUUUACUUUUUUGAAUGUAACAAAAAGAGGCAAAUGAACUCUACCUUGACAGGAAGUUGAAGCGCAGAGACUACAAAGUCUGCAGUUUAGGGAUUAUUACUUGAUUCAAAAUUGUGGGAUUCAUAUAACUGAGGUGACAAAUUAGAUGUUCCAUUGUUUUCUAAAAAUGGCUGGUAAGUGUUGUUUUUAAUAGAAUCCAUAGAUUCCAGUGAGUGGAAAGUGGAAAGAGAAAGUUGAAAAGAAUGUAAAGAG